AGAACAACCACCACUCAGGACCACGGUGCCGAAUCUCAUAACGAACUGGACAUCAAGAAGUUUCUACAUUCACUGUAAGAAUUUGAAAUGAAGAAAGAACAAUACAAGCUGCAGACCACAUAAAAAACUACUUAACAAUAUACAUACUGAUCCAUUGUGGAAUUAUUAAGGAAAAUACAUUGAAAUAGGUGGCAUUCUUGUCAAAGAUAUAUAUGGACGGCUAGAUGGAUAGAUAGGUGAAAAUCAUGUUCCAUGGAAGAAGAGUUAGCUCAGCCUGCAACUCAAACAAGUACAGAUAUUCUUCCAUGGAAUGACCAUCAUACUUGGAUUGUAAUAAAAAUGCUUUAGGCAAACUUCUCAUUUCAUCCUUGGCAUAUUAAAAAUAUGACACAACUGUCACAAUAGGUUUCAAGAUGGAUCAUUUUUACAACAAAAACUUCUUUUUAUUUUAUGUACAGGUUUGCUAACGCAUAGAGAAAAAUGGAUGGGAAGAAGUUAUUAAAGAAAUAAUACAAGAGAAUUUUCAACAGCUGAAAGUAAUCUCAAAUGGUCAAAUUGAAAGGAAUGCUGAAAAGGAUGAACAACAAAGAUCAUGACGCACACCAAAAUAUGAUGAAUUUUCACAGCUUCAUGAAUGAAAAUUUUAAAAAGUUUCCAAAGAGGAAAAAGUGCUGUCACCCACAGAAGAAUGAGUUCACACUUCUCACUAGAAAGCACCAAAAUGCCUUAAAAGAAUGGGUAAUUUGGAAAGUAUAGGGAAAGGUAACUUUCAACCCAUUAUUAUAAAAAUACCUAAAGUUUGAGGUAAUAUGAGUAUAAUUGGACGAGAGCAUGGGAAAUGCCUUUUCUCUACUUUCUGACACCCAAAACCUCAAAUACCACUACAGGGAGAAAAAAAGAAUAGAAAUCAUGCUUUGACUUUAAACUGGAAAUAAAUAAGAAAUUCAGAA
ensembl:lncRNA LINC01807 long intergenic non-protein coding RNA 1807